GCCCGCAUAGCUCAGUGGACAGAGCGCCCGCCUACGAAGCGGGAGGCCGCAGGUUCGACCCCUGCUGUGGGCA
rnacentral:tRNA from 1 species